AUGAAAAUCAAUGGUUGGAAGGAAAAAUUACUUUCUGCUGGAGGAAUGGAGAUUCUUCUCAAGUCUGUUUUCCAAGCCAUAGCUACCUAUGCAAUGUAGGUCUUUAAAAUUCAUAAAAAAUUUGUAAAGGAAAUUUAUGUGAUGGCACAUUUCUGGUGCGGAGAUGAGAAGAACGAGAUGAGGAUGCAUUGGAUGGCGUGGUAGAAAAAGUGUGUCCCUAAGAAUCAAGGGGGGAUGAGUUUUCGUGAUAUUCACUGUUUCAAUUUGGCAUUGUUGGCCAUACAGGCUCGACUUCUUGAGAAUCAUGACUCCUUAUGUGCUACUAUUCGGAGGGCUAAGUACUAUCCAAAUGACGAUUUGUUGAAUACUAAGUUAAAGAAGGGAUCCUCUUUUACAUGGCGAUGUAUUAUGGUAGGUGUGAAUUCUCUGAAACAUGGUUACACUACUAGGGAAAACCCUAGCAGUAGCGCGAGUAUUUUGCCUAUUAGUAGCGCGGGACGUCGCGCUACUGAUAAGGCGCUACAGCUAACGUGUAGCAGUAGCGCAUGUCGUCCCACGCUACUGCUAUACAUGGAUAGCAGUAGCGCGCUUUAA
rnacentral:rRNA from 1 species